rnacentral:rRNA from 1 species
GACCUCAAAUCAGGUAGGACUACCCGCUGAACUUAAGCAUAUCAAUAAGCGGAGGAAAAGAAACUAACAAGGAUUCCCCUAGUAACUGCGAGUGAAGCGGGAAAAGCUCAAAUUUAAAAUCUGGCAGUCUUUGGCUGUCCGAGUUGUAAUCUAGAGAAGUGUUAUCCGCGCUGGACCGUGUACAAGUCUCCUGGAAUGGAGCGUCAUAGAGGGUGAGAAUCCCGUCUUUGACACGGACUGCCAGGGCUUUGUGAUGCGCUCUCAAAGAGUCGAGUUGUUUGGGAAUGCAGCUCAAAAUGGGUGGUAAAUUCCAUCUAAAGCUAAAUAUUGGCGAGAGACCGAUAGCGAACAAGUACCGUGAGGGAAAGAUGAAAAGAACUUUGGAAAGAGAGUUAAAYAGUACGUGAAAUUGCUGAAAGGGAAACGCUUGAAGUCAGUCGCGUUGGCCAGGGAUCAACCUUGCUUUUGCUUGGUGUACUUUCUGGUUGAUGGGUCAGCAUCAAUUUUGAYUAUUGGAAAAAGGUCAGGGGAAUGUGACAUCUUCGGAUGUGUUAUAGCCCUUGGUUGCAUACAAUAGUUGGGAUUGAGGAACUCAGCACGCCGCAAGGCCGGGUUUUUAACCACGUACGUGCUUAGGAUGCUGGCAUAAUGGCUUUAAUCGACCCGUCUUGAAACACGGACCAAGGAGUCUAACAUACCUGCGAGUGUUUGGGUGGAAAACCCGAGCGCGUAAUUAAAGUGAAAGUUGAGAUCCCUGUCGUGGGGAGCAUCGACGCCCGGACUAGACCUUUUGUGACGGUUCCGCGGUAGAGCAUGUAUGUUGGGACCCGAAAGAUGGUGAACUAUGCCUGAAUAGGGUGAAGCCAGAGGAAACUCUGGUGGAGGCUCGUAGCGAUUCUGACGUGCAAAUCGAUCGUCAAAUUUGGGUAUAGGGGCGAAAGACUAAUCGAACCAUCU